AUUGAACGCUGGAGGCAGGCCUAACACAUGCAAGUCGAGCGGAGCGGCGGACGGGUGAGUAAUGCCUAGGAAUCUGCCUGGUAGUGGGGGCUAACGUCAGGUAACGGGCGCUAAUACCGCAUACUAUCAGAUGAGCCUAGGUCGGAUUAGCUAGUUGGUGGGGUAAAGGCCUACCAGGGUGACGAUCCGUAACUGGUCCGAGAGGAUGAUCAGUCACACUGGAACUGAGACACGGUCCAGACUCCUACGGGAGGCAGCAGUGGGGAAUAUUGGACAAUGGGCGAAAGCCUGCUCCAGCCAUGCCGCGUGUGUGAAGAAGGUCUACGGAUUGUAAAGCACUGUAAGUUGGGAGGCGUUACCAACAGAAUAGGCACCGUCUAACGUCGUGCCAGCCGCCGCGGUAAUAC
rnacentral:rRNA from 1 species